AGUCGAGCGAACCUUCGGGUCUAGCGGCGGACGGGUUAGUAACGCGUGGGAAUAUACCCUUCACUACGGAAUAGCCUCGGGAAACUGGGAGUAAUACCGUAUACGCCCUUUUGGGGAAAGAUUUAUCGGUGAAGGAUUAGCCCGCGUCUGAUUAGAUAGUUGGUGGGGUAAUGGCCUACCAAGUCUACGAUCAGUAGCUGGUUUGAGAGGAUGAUCAGCAACACUGGGACUGAGACACGGCCCACACUCCUACGGGAGGCAGCAGUGGGGAAUCUUAGACAAUGGGCGCAAGCCUGAUCUAGCCAUGCCGCGUGAGUGACGAAGGCCUUAGGGUCGUAAAGCUCUUUCGCCAGAGAUGAUAAUGACAGUAUCUGGUAAAGAAACCCCGGCUAACUCCGUGCCAGCAGCCGCGGUAAUACGGAGGGGGUUAGCGUUGUUCGGAAUUACUGGGCGUAAAGCGCACGUAGGCGGAUUGGAAAGUAUGGGGUGAAAUCCCAGGGCUCAACCCUGGAACUGCCUUGUAAACUCCCAGUCUAGAGUUCGAGAGAGGUGAGUGGAAUUCCAAGUGUAGAGGUGAAAUUCGUAGAUAUUUGGAGGAACACCAGUGGCGAAGGCGGCUCACUGGCUCGAUACUGACGCUGAGGUGCGAAAGUGUGGGGAGCAAACAGGAUUAGAUACCCUGGUAGUCCACACCGUAAACCAUGAAUGCCAGACGUCAGGGGGCUUGCCCUUUGGUGUCACACCUAACGGAUUAAGCAUUCCGCCUGGGGAGUACGGUCGCCAGAUUAAAAACUCAAAGGACUUGACGGGGGCCCGCACCAACG
rnacentral:rRNA from 1 species